UAAACUAAAAAUAGUAGCCUACAAAAUAACCCUACAUGUCGUCAUCCAUGUACAUCAAACUCUGGAAUCCUGUAAGAGCUCCAUAGCUAGCCGUGCUCUCUAUGUAGCUCCAGGCUCACCUACAAUGCAAGAACUACAUAAGCCAAUGGUUAGUAAGCAAAAUCAUGCAUGUCAUGAAUAUGAGUAAUAGUGACAUAUGACACCAUGCUAUUUACUUUAAAUCUCACAAUAAAGAAGUAUAAUAUUUCAAUAUUCAUCGAAGUGGACUCGAAAUCAUUUCAUUUGAAACCUUUCAUUUCGUUGGGCCCUUGACCUGCCUACUAUGCACCGGAUAGAGCUCUGCACGAUAUCAAUAUUAAUAAUCAAAUGGCUAAUAUGAAAUCAACACUGACGAGUGGACCAUCCUUUCGUGACCACAAGAGGCCCAUUCCCUAACUACCUCUAUGAUCCCCCAAGAAUUAUCCCACCCAACAGUGUCAAUAAUCAUAAUAUCACCAAGGCAUAGUCGAGUGGUCCACCCUCCCGUGAUCACCAAAGACCUAUCUCCUAUCUACCUUUGCAAUCACCCAGUAAGUGUCACCUGUGAUGCCAAAACAUAUCACAUAAGCAUGCCUCGAUGCCCUAGUAGUGGUCAAUAAAACAUUUAUAAAGAAAACUCAAUUUGAAAUCAUGUUUCACAUGUAGGAUGUUCAACCAUGAUCACAUGUCGUGCAUGCCGAUGAAAAUGCUCAUUAAUGACAUGCUUGAUGAAAAUCGAUGUCAACAGGUUCCUCAACUUUAUACUCAACAAUCAUAAUCAUCACACGGGGUGCUACAAGCCUCUUAUCAAAGAUAUAUAAAUAUUUCAACAUUAUUAUAUCACAUAUUCUAGAUUCUUGCAUCGCAGUUGCAAAUGGAUUUUCACUUAUCUUUCACCUUUAUGUGUGCAAGCUUCUACGGAGAUUAGAUCAAUUUCCUUUUUCGCUCAAAGUCGAAAAAUCAUGUGUAUUGCCAUUUAAUAUUAAAGCCAAUCCUAAAUUUAAUAACCUUAACACACACAAAAUUCCAAAAUACAUCCAUUCAUGCCAAAAUAAUUUAGACGAAAUCAUCAUUUCAAGUUACCGAUGACAUUACCAACUAAUCCCAUAAAUCUCACUAUUUCUCGAGUCAAAUUAUGAACGUCAAUGUCAUCCAAUUGUUGCUGACAACCUAGUACUCCUUAGAAUCUAUUUUCUAGGCCUAAGAGAUAAUUAAUGUACAUGUAAAAGGCUGAAAUUAUAUUAAACACAAAAUUGGACAGAAUCUGUUUAGAGAUUUCCCUUACUGUCCAAUCAUUUUUCACUCCCUUAUCUAUAUUCAUGACUCCCAAAUUUUUACCACAUUUCUAUAACAUGUAUGUGAAGGUAAUCAUGCUCUAAAGUCAUUACAAGUAAAGCAUUUUCAGACUCAAAAUAGUCCAUUUCCACACCACUAAAAUUAGACAAUUUCCAUUGUGAAAGUUUUCGGUUUCCAUUUUAUUAGCAUGUCACCAAUUGGAUUCCAGGCUAUUAGAAGGCCAUUUCUAUCCUUAUAACUCUCAUAUAAAAGCAUUAAUUUACAUAGAUACAAGUUAUAUCUUAACUUUUAUCCAAAAUCAAAGUUUAAACCACUCAAUUCUAGCAAUUCCACAUCACUGAACUGAUUGCGUUCUUUCAAAUUCUUGUAAUUAAUUACCCCCAUUUUUGGCAUCAUAAAAUCAUUAACAACACUCUAACCUAAUCACAAGCAAGUUCAGAUGUUCAAGAAAUUAUAAACCCCUCAAGAAAUAAUGGAUACAAUCCUUAAAACUGUGAAGUAACUUGGCUGUCCAGAAAUUCCAGCUUGUUGUUUCUAUUUCUCUUUGGUCGUUCACUCUCUUUUUCACUUAGAAUCACUUAGAUACGAGCUAAGGGACUUAAUAUAUUAUCUGGGAGGAAGAUAACAGUUCUUUAAAUAGUUAAGGUCCUGCUUAUUGUAUAAGUGUUAUGCCCUAGGUCCAAUCAACCUUAGACAUAAAUACUUUUGAUAUAUAAUUAGUACAAUUUAAUGGCAGAUCUAUUAUUUAAUUAAUAAACAAUUAAAUAAAUAAUAGAAUCUGUAGAUUCAAAUCUUCUUAGUUUGUUAAUCACAAGGAGUUGUGAUUGUGAGAUACAAAUUAUAUAUGAUUGAAUCUUAAAUCGUUCGUGGUCGUAAGUAAUAACGAGAUACGGAUAACGUUAUUACUGAUAGACCAUCACGUGUGGUAUUUUUUACUUGUAAAGUAAGUAGCUGAUCUCACAAACUAAAGUAUGGUGACACUUAAAUGAACAUGUGGAUGUUUUUUUAUAGAACAAAACAUUGGAGACCCACCGAGAGAUUCCACAUGGAUAACUAUUUGUGGUCAGUGGUUAAUUUUUAAUGUUCGGUAGCGGGAUUGGUCCUUUGACUUGAGGUCAUCAUAGUAUCUUAUAUGAGGACAAUCGUGCUUUGACGGUGUUGGAUGUUGCUCUGCCAAGAGCCGCUAAUACGGCAUCGUUUGGGUAUGUCAAGAAUCGUAUGAAGGUUGUGAAUGACCAAAAGAGGAUUCGUCACUCUUAGAUAGUAUGAGAUUAUGAUCUGCAUUUCAUUCAAUUAAGUCGAUAACGAAAUUCUUAGCCAAGGUGUACUCAUAAGUUGAAAAGGAGGUUUCGACUUAGAUUGACUUAACAGUGGAGUGAAAGAUACGAUCGAUAUUUGGGAUUGACAUACUUCUAUAUCUCGUAGUUGAUUGGAUCUAUUGACGAAGGGAUCAUAGUUUCACGGGAAACGAAAGAGUUUGAUUUUGUCAUACCACAUGACAUUCCUCAUCUAUGUACUGCCCUAACACAUUGCUAGAUGUAAAUUUGGGAUAGGGAGUGUGAAUUGGUGAUAAAUUAAAAGAGUGUUUUAAUUUAUCAAUUUUGAUUAGAUCAAAAUAACAUUUCACGUCGUUAGACAUUGUGAUCGGGAACCUGAUGGGUCGCACACAAAAGAGAUUUGGAAGAUUGUAAUUUGUUAAUUAAUUAAUUUAACAAUCGUUGGAUAAAUUAAUUAAUUGGUUUGGUUAUUUAUAGGCCCGAAUUAAUUAAUUAAAUUAAUUAAUUCAUGGACCGGAUUUAAUUAAAUGUAUUAAUUAAAUAUUAGACCGGACCAGGCCAGGCCCGUUUAGGUUUAAAUAAAUAUAUGGCUAGGGUUUUCAAUCCAUAUAGUUUUCGCAUAAUUUCUUACUAGCAUAAGAGGAGAAAACCCUGGUAGCUACAAUUUGUACUCUGUGUGGAUCAUCGUUGGAGGCUGGACAAUUGGAUAGCUGUGGGUGACGAAUCAAGAUUACUGGAACAAAAAGAAUAGCAAAAAAGUUUGCAGAUCUGAAAAAGGUACAAUCCUUUCACAAUUUCUAUUUAAAUACAAAGAGAUUCCUGGUGGGAAUCGAAAUAUGUUUUAAUUUUUCGCUGUACAUGAUAAGUAAAUUCCCAAUAAUGGUAUCAAAGCCUACUUUGUGUUUGUUAAAAAUUGUUUUGCAUGAUUAAACAGUUAAAAGUUGACUGUUCAUAUUUUUCUGGAAUCUAGCAAUUGUGAAAAUUAUUAUUUUUCAUCAAAAAUUAGUUUUGAUUAAAAAAAAAAGGUAGUCAGAAUACCGAGGCAAUGUCGUAGCCACCUGCCGGACGUUGGCCGAAGCUACAGCAGCGGCGUCUGCAGCCACUGCUAUAAAGGAAGACAUUGUCACUACAAUUGCAGCGGCAGCACGCUCGCUGCUACUGAUGGCAGGGAGCCGUCGCCUGAGUGUAGUGGCUCUUGCAGCAUAUGAUGUAGCUGCCGGCGCCACCAAUGACAGAGGAAGAGAGUGAAAUUUUUUUAGGGUUUUAUAGAAAACGGGUGGAAUGUUCUGGAGGCGGGGGUCUGUCAUGCAAUUUAUGAAAUUGUAUGACCCCACCUGGAAUUUAUUAGUAAGGGUCAGUUUUGCAUUUUCUGAACUAAGACUUGUUCUGAAAUUUUCGAAAUAUGAUGGGCUUGCUUAAAAUUUGCGAAAUUGAGAGGUCUUGAGUAUAAUUUGAAAAUGGGCCAAAAUGUAAAUUUCAAAAGGGGAUUUGAAUUUAAAUUUUAAAAUGGUUUUAAAUUUGAUUUUAAAUGGGUUUGACCUAUAAUUUCAAUUUUUAACCCAAAUUAAAAUUUCAUUUAAAAUUGACCACUUUUUAUAGUUUCGUUAAAAUUAGAUUUUUACUUAAAUAUUAAACUUUGACCCUAAAUUGAAUUUUAUUUCAUUUAGGAGUUUUAUCGUAAAUUAAAAUGUUAAUUCAAUUUAAGUUAGAAUUGGAUUCUAAUUUAGUGUUUAAUUAAAAUUUAAUUUUAAUUAAAUUAUCCACCCUAAUAUAUUCUUAAAAUUAGAGUUAGACUCUGAUUUAAUAUUUAAUUAGAAUUAAAUUUUAAUUAAAUUGUCUUGCCCUAAAAUUUUUCUUGGAAUUAGAAUUAGACUCUAAUUUGAUAUUUAAUUAAAAUAUGAUUUUAAUUAAAUAAGUUCACCCUAAAUCUUGAAAUUAGAGUUGGACUUUAAUUUUGCUAUUUAAUUAAAAAUUGAUUUUAAUUAAAUUCAAUCGCCUUAAGUUUUGAAAAUAGAGUUGGACUCUAAUUUGGUAAUUAACUAAAAUUUGAUUUUAAUUAGAUAGUUUCGCCCCAUAAUUGUGGAAUUGGAGUUAGACACUAAUUCAGUAUUUAAUUAAAAUUUGAUUUUAAUUAAAUAGGCCUGCUAAUUAAAUAAUUGAUUAAUAUGAUUAAUUAAUUAUUCCGAUCCAUUUGUCUAAAAGAGUCUAGACAAUCUUAAUUGAUAAAAACUUGAAACGUGUUAGUAUAUAAUAUUAGAUAUUAUAUAUACAUACAUUUAUGUGAUGAAUGUAUUCUUAGUGGACGAUUAUGGACUCGACCAUAUGGAUGUGUUGAAUGGUUAAUUUUUAUUCUUGUCGUUUUGUGGGCCUGGGAGCUCUUAAUUGUUUUGGGCCUGCGAGCCUGUUAUUAUUGUUAUUAUUAUGGGUCUGCGAGUUCUUAAUCAUUUUGGAUCUGCGAGUCCGUUAUUAUUAUUAUUAUUACUAUAGGCCUGCGAGACCAAUUUCAUUUAGGUAUGCGUGCCAACUAGUAUAGGAUACAGGUUGCAGUUGGAGUAAUUGAAGAAACAAGAAGAGGAGGAGACCAUGGAGAUGGUGCAUUGAUACUGUUCAAUGUUGUACCCCCCUAAAAAUUGACCAACUAGUCUUCCUUAUGGCUUGGGAAGACUAGAUAGUAAAAGUCCAUAAUUGUCCACACUAUUAUUAUUAUAUGUUUAUUUGCAUGGUAGAUGUAUAAUAAAAUAUAUAUGAUUGUAUCGUUGUUGAUGAAGCCUUUGAAUGCAAAAAAAAAAAAAAAAAAAACCCCUCAAUAAAAUAUUAAGUCAUAUUUUAUUUUCGUCUUCCAUCAUUACAGUGAAAAAUCAGAGUCCCAAAUUGUCUCAACUUGUUAAGUAUACUCAAGGCUGGUCUAUUAGGGAUAUGUUUGACACUAUGAAAUAUUGGAUAUUUCUGAAUGAUGGGUUCGACUUAACUAAAGUUUAUCUCUUGUUGAGUACACUCAAGAAAAUAAAUUUUAGAGGCAUGUUAAGCUAACACAUAAGAUGUGAAAUGACAGAGUUCUCAGCUUAACGAUCUGAGAGUUGUAUGUACAUGCAAUUGAUAAUAGUAUCUACCCAAAUGUUUUAUUAAGGUUUGUUGAGUACACUCAAGGUCUCGACAUAACAGAUGGGAUCCCAGCCCACUGGGACUCAAGUAUGGACUCCAUAAAUUUAUGUGAAAGGGUCAUAAAUUUUAGUUAAACAGUGGAAGCAUAAUUAAUUUAAUAAAAGUCAAUGUUAAAUUAAUUGAUGCAUUUUAUAUAUUAUUCAUUUUAUUUUCAUCAUUUAUAUUGAAUCUUAAGUAACCAUAUGUUUUGAAUGGCAUACUGGAUGCCAACAACCAAAUCAGAUUUUCUUGAUUGACACCGCAAUUUGAGAAUUGUUCUCAUGCAUGAGAAAAUUGGUCACGUCCUUGAGUAACCCUUUCUAGAGAUACUUGCUGAUGACUCGAUUAAAAAAGAGGUGGCUACUGUAAUAAACACAGUGAUGACGAUAGUACUGCAACAUGUGUGAUGUUUGCAUUACGUCACUAGAGUUACAAAAGCAACUUGAGAGUAUAGAUGCUAAAGCAUGAUUUUUCAUUUUAAAGAGUUGUAUAAUAAUAAUCAUGUGUGGAAGGAUAUGAGACUUCCAAGCAACUGUACCGAUGCAAAAUGACAGAGUAAUCUUGAGUCGAUGUUUAGACACUGAAGAUGAUUGACGUUGAGAAUUGUCUCAAUGAGGUUCGGUCAUGAACUACGAACUAAGUACUGACUUAGCUUUGCAAUCUCUCUCAGAUAGUUAUUCAUACUAAUUAUGAAUUAUGAUAUGAAUAAGCUCGAAUGUACACACAUUAAGUUGUUGAACAUGCUUAACACUGUUGAGCCCAAUAUCAAAGUUAAUGGUGGGCAAGCCAUUGAUCCCUCUAAGGACAUUAAAAGGAAGUUUAAAUGAGUUUUUGGAAAGCAUCCAAUAUGGCUUAGACGGUCAAAGCAAAGGACAAAUAUCAAAUCUAAUGACCCUUGUUUUCAUUGUAGAAUGAAAGGUCAUUGGAAGAUAUUGCAUAAGUUACGUCUACUUCACGAGUUUCUUAAGUAUUUGAUACCAGAUCUAGAUCUCAUGUUUAUACAAAUAUGGAGAAACUAAAUAGAAGUAGACCACUACGAAAUGGAGAAGUUGACCUACACGUUGAAGAUGAGCAAAGAUUCCUGCAUUGCCUGUAGGAGCAUACUUUUCGCCUUUGCAUUUUGACUUAGUAAUGGAAUUAGAGAAAUGUUGCUUUGUACCCACCAUGGCUAGAACAUUAAAAUAAAUUUUAUGUUCAGACAUGAACCAUUUUAAUGUUAAGGACGAUUGUUGUUCUUGCAUAUCUUGAUUAAGAUCUUAAUAGUUAUGGUAAGUUACAAAAUAACAUUUAUAUUCUAAAUACUAAGGAUUCUAUAAUGAGUAUAGAAAUUAUAAGGCAUAAAUGUGAUAAUCUAAUUUUUAUCUAAAUCUGGCAUGGCGGACUUUGUCAUGUGGAUGAAAUGCAAUUCCAAAGUUACAUAGAGAUGUAUACUUGGGAUUAAUUGAUUUUGACAAGUACAAAUUAUGCAUGUUUGGCACAAUGACCAAAUCUUCUUUUACUUGAAAAGAAGAAAGGUCUGCAUAAUUACUGGUCUAAUCUAUACUGAUGCAUAUGAACUCAUGUCAAUUCAUGUAUACUUGAUGAAAUUCAAGCAUGGAGUUCUUGAAAGGUUCAAAGAAUUCAAGCUAGAAGUAGAGAAACAAAAAUGUAAAUAUAUCCUCACAUCAAGAUACGAUCGAGAUGAAACUAUCUUAAAGAUUAAAUUCUAGAUUAUCUAAGAGAGAAUGAGAUUCUCUUGUAGUGGACUCCUCCAUAUACAUUGCAACAUAGUAGUGUAUUUGAAAAGAGGAAUCGUUAACUAUUAUAUAUAAUGCGAUUAAUAACAAGCCAUGUAAAUCUCCCAAAAUUAUUUUGGGAUCAUGCAUUGAUUGCAGUGUGCAACACAUUAAAUCAUGUCUCAUCUAAAUUGGUUAACAGAACCCCAUACGAGUUAUGGAAAGGCAAUAGUCCCAAUUAUCUUAUAUGAAAGCUUGGGGCCAUGACGCUUUGAAGUGCCUUGAAUCGGAUAAAUUUGACACUAAAUCAGAUAAAUACAUAUUUGUGGGGAUAUUCAAAGUAGACAUUUGAAUAUAAAUUCUAUUAUCAUGAAGAAAGUCUUCUUCUCACGACAUAUUGUCUUCUUAGAGAACAUUUUUACUCUAGGGGAGGACAGUGGGAGCAAAAUAGAACUUGAAAGAGUUCAAGAGUCCACAAAUAUAGUUAACCAAGUAGAUAAAUUCGAGUUUGAUCCCAUAUCUAAUAUGGGACAUACUCUUGACCGAAAGUAAAGACUCCUGAGGACAUGUCAGCUCUAUGUGAAUCUAGUAGGAUCAUUCGAUCUUGAAGAAGGUGCAAAUCCAUGAUUACUAAUUAGGUAUUAUUGAUCCAGGAUAACGAACCUAGUAGUUGCACCAAAAUAAAGUCAAGCGUUGACUUAAAAGAGACAGCAAGAGGCCAUGAAACUCAUGAUGAACUCAACGUAUGUGAACAAGGUUUGGACCUUGGUCAAGCGUCCUGAUGGAAUAAAACCCAUAAGUUUUUGUAAAUAGUUUACAAGGAAAUGGUCGAUAUGGAUGGCAAUAUCCAUAUAUACAAAGAAAGGCUAGAAGCAAAGGUUAAAUGUUGACCUUGAUGAAACCUUUCUCCUGUGCCUUGCUGAAGUCCAUUCGUGUUUUGCUUGCAACAAUUGCAUACCAUGACUAUAGGUUAAGAGAAGUCUCUUGGAGCUGAAAUCUUUGAUUUGAUGAAAAAGUCAAAGUGUUAGAUUUUAUCAAAUUUGAAGACGAAUUGUGUGUUUACAAGAAGAUAGUGGGAGCAUUGUUGUAUUCCUAAUAUUAUAGAAAACGACAUCCUUAUGUUUCAAUCGUUGAAAUAAUGAUUGUUAAAGGAUUUAUUCAUGAGUGAUAUGGGAGAAGCAACUUGAUCUAUAGAGAUAGAUCUAGAAAAUUGCAUAACUUGUCUCAAUUUACAUAGAUAAAAUCUUGAGAAGAUUUCAUAUGAAGAAACUGGUUUACUCUUAAGCGGAAUGUUGGAAAGGUUCCAAACGUGAAGCAACCGUUGAUUCAAUAGUAUAAAUCUAAUACAUGAUUACUUCAGAAGUAGCAAAGAGUUGCAAUAUGGAUCAUGAUAUUCAUAAAUGAACUUGGAGUAGUUCCUGAUAUUGUUGAUCACAUGCCAUUGUAUGGUGAUAACAAUAGAGCCAUCGCAAAAGCAAAGGAACUAAGGUCUCAUCGAUCCAAACGUGUAUUAAGGUGGUAUAAUCUCAUCAGAGAGAUAAUACAUAGAAAUGAUGUAAAGAGAAGAACAAAUUCAAUUACUUAUUGUUGAGCCUGAUUUAAAUUUUAUCACAUCCUUUAUAGAUCUAGUCAUGCUCUUUCUAUCGAUGAUUGAAAUAACUAUUGAAUUUUAAUCUUAAUAUUACUUUAUUGGCAGAUUGAUUAAUGCCUUAUGCUUGAUGCAUAUGGUCAAUCUUUGAUCUUAUUCCAACAAAAAUGUGCGUAUGUGUUGUAAGUCUAGAUUCUAUGGUUACAGUUGUGAAUUAAAUCGAUCUUUAUUGUUAAAUCUUUUGAUUAGAGAGUUGAGAUGAAAAUUCUCUAAUUGAGUUAUAAAAAUGAAUAAUUGAUGUGAUUGACCCAUUCCAAUUGAGGUAAUUCCGACACUUCGCCAUUUCAAGACAUUGAUCUUAAUUUCAUUACUUUAACAUUGAAUUCUCCUACACAUUUCAAGAUGAGUAAUCACUUAGGGUUUGUUUCAUCCAUAGCACUUGAGUACAACAACUUACGGCCGAGAUAUAUUUGGCUUCGACAAUCGAUAAUGCCAUGUAAUUUUAUUUCUUACUAAACCAUGAUACUAGUGCAAGGCCUAGAAAUUGACACUCCUCCACUAGUACUUUUAUGAUCAAUUCGGCAACCGGCCAAAUCGGCCUCCGGAAUAGCUAAGUCAGUCAAUGUGAGUUCCUUUUGAAUACCAAUGUCCCAAAGUUCGGGUACCGUUAAGAUAUCUAAAAAUUCGUUUUAUGGCCUUAUGAUGCGAUUCCUUAAGAUUAGAUUGAAAUCUAGCACAUAAACAUAUACUAAACAUAAUAUCGGGCCUACUAGCAUUUAAAUAAAGAAGGAACUGAUCAUACCUCGACACUUAGUUAAAUCAAAGGAAGUACCUUGAUCAUCUUUGUCCAAUUUGAUGGAUGAGCUCAUGGGAGUGUUUAUUGGUUUCAAAUUCUCCAUCUCAAAUCAUUUAAGCAUAUCCGAUAUUUAUUUACUUUGAUUUAUAAAAAAUUCAUCGUUUGUUUGCUUAAUUUAAAGACCAAGAAAGAAUUUAAGUUCUCCCAUCAUGCGUAUUUCAAAUUCCAUGCUCAUGCAUUUUGAAAAUUCUUCACAAAGAUGGAUGUUAGUUGUACCAAAAAUAAUGUCAUCAACAUAAAUUUGAACAAUAAUCAUAUCAUUUUUAUGAGUUUUAACAAAUAGUGUAGUAUUUGUUUUACCUAUUGAAAAACCAUUUGAGAGUAGAAAUUUGCUCAAACGUUCAUACCAAGCUUUAGGAGCAUGUUUUAACUCGUAAAGAGCUUUUCUAAGUUUAAAAACAUGGCCCUUGUUUGAGCCUCAUUUUUUCAUCAAAAUACAUUCUUCAAUAGUGAUUUGAAAUCAUUUCAACCACACAUUUUUCAAUAAAAUAAUAUUACACGUAAAUUCAAAACCUUUUCUUAUUUUUUAACCACACAUUUCGCAUCAUAAUACUAUUUCAAAAUGCAUUUUUUGAAGAAAAUGGGGCUCAAACAACCCCAUGAUUCAGACAUCUGUGAUCUUUAAAACUAGAAGGUUGCUCAACAAAAAUUUCUUCUUCAAUAAAUACAUUUAAAAAUGCACUUUUAACAUCCAUUUGAUAAAUUGUAAAAUCUUUAUAACAUGCAAAUGCAAGAAGCAUGGGAAUGGAUUCUAAUCUAGCUACAGGUGCAAACAUUUCUUCAAAAUCAAUACCUUCUUCUUGAAUGUAACCUUGGGCCACUAAUCUAGUUUUUUACGCACAAUUAUUCCAUUUUCAUCUCUUUUGUUUCUAAAAACCCAUUUUGUUCCAAUAAUGGUUUGAUUGUUUGGUCUAGCAAUUAAGUCCCAAACAUGAUUUCUUUUAAAUUGAUUCAAUUAUUCUUGCAUCGCUAGAAUCCAAAACUAAUCAAAUUCGACUUCUUUGAAAUUUUUAGGUUCAAUUUGAGAAAUAAAUGCACAACUAUCGCUGUGAUUUUUAUGGGAGGUUCUAGUAGUGAUACCUUUUGAUGGGUUGCCAAUUAUUAGCUCCUUAGGAUGGGAUGGAGCAAAUCUCCAUUCCUUUGGUAAUGGUGGAUAUCUUUGUUCUUCAGUUUGUCUUUCUUCAUUUUCUUGAGCAUUUGAUUCCUCCUCUUCAUUUUGAUCUUGAAUUUUUAUUUGUUCAAAAUGAGCUUUCAAACUUAUAUCAUCAUCACUAUCUUUCUCUCGGUCAAGAGAGUUAGUCUCAUCAAAUGUGACAUGCAUGAAUUCUUCAACAACUAGAGUUCUUUUAUUAAAUACUCUAUAAGCUUUGUUAGUUGAUGAAUAUCCUUGAAAAUUUCCAAGAUCGGAUUUUGAAUCAAGCUUUUCCAAGUUAUCUUUAGUGUUUUAAAUAAAGCAUUUGCACCCAAAAAUUCAAAAGUAACUGAUAAUUGGGAUUCUAUUUUUCCAAAGUUCAUAUAGAGUUUUGUUUUUCUUUUUAUUUACAUGUACCCUAUUUACAAUGUAGCAAGCGAUAUAGACGGGUUCGACCCAAAAAUAUUUUGGCAUGCUAUUUUCAUUUAGCAUGGUCCUAGCGAUUUCUUGCAAUGUUUGAUUCUUUCUUUCUACUAUCUCAUUUUGUUGAGGAAUUCUAGGAGCCAAGAAACUAUGAUUAUAUCCACUUUCAUUGCAAAAGUUAUCAAAAGCUAUAUUGUCAAAUUCUCCACCAUGAUCACUCCUUGUAGAAGUGAUAAAAUAUCCUUUUCAUUUUGAACCUUUUUACAAAAAUGUUUAGAAACAUUUAAAGCCUCUUCUUUAAGACUUAAGAAUAGAACCCAAGUGAAUCUAGAAAGGUCAUCCACAAUGAAAAAGCAUAAUGUUUUCCUCCUAAACUUGCGGUUCUAGAGGGUCCAAAUAGGUGAAUGUGAAGUAAUUGUAAUGCUUUUGAUGUUGAAGAGUGUUGCUUAGUUUUGAAAGAACUUUUCACUUGUUAGCCAAAUUGACAAGCAUCACAAACUUUAUCCUUUUCAAAUUCUAAAUUUGGCAACCCUUUUACAGAACAAUUUUUUGAAAUUUUUGAAAGAAGAUCUAUGCUACCAUGACCUAAUCUCCUAUGCCAUAGCCAUGCAUCUUUCUUGGGGCUAAGUAAGCAUUUUUCAUCUUUUUCAAAUUCAAUAUUUAGGAUAUAAAAAUCUUUUACUCAGCUACCUAUAAACAUUGAUUCCUUUGAAGUAGCAUCUUUUAUAAGGCAUUUUGAAGAGUCGAAUUUAAUAUGAUAACCUUUAUCGCAUAAUUGACUAAUGCUACGCAAAUUAUUUUUGGGGUUACGACUAAUAAAACGUUUCCAAUCUUAGGAGAGGAAUGAUUACCAAUAUCUCCGAUUCCAAUAAUUCUUCAUUUAGCAUUGUCUCCGAAUGUCGCAUGACCUUCAUUCUUUUCUUUGAAAUGUGAUAGUAGCUUUCUAUCUCCGAUCAUGUGUCUUGAACAUCCAUUAUCUGAGAACAUUUGCUUUUUACUUUCUUUGAUACCUCGUCUUCGAUGGCCAUGAAGCACAUGUUGGCAAUUUCAUCUUGGCUAUCAUUUUUGUUUUGAUCAUCAUCAUCACUUUUAUCCCAUGUAGCUCGUAAUGCCUUUUUUCUUGAUGUUCUUCAUUUUGUUCGAGCACUUGGUUCUUUUGUGGCUGGGCUUGUCACAAACAUAGCAUAUGAUUUUCUUGCUUUUCUCUUCAACUUUUUUAUCUUUCUUUUGAAAUUUCCGAUUGUUUCAAAAGUGUAGUGACCCGGGUCUCUGUACCAAAGCUGUUAGAUUACAUACUGUCCGCUUUGGGUGGGCCUGUGCUCACUUACUAUGCACCGUUUUCUGUCGCGUUCCCCAAGAUUCGAACUCAUAAUCUUUCUCUUAAGCAAGACUUAAUUGAAUCCUAGUACCAAUUGGGCAAGUUGACUUAUGGUGCAAUUCAACCCUUACGAAGCUUUCGAUGACUUACAAACAAGGAGUAACGAUCCUUUUACAAUGUUGAACUUUACGGAACCUCAACACAACCUACAAAUUUACGAAAAAAGAAUUUACAAAUUACUUCUCCUACAAUGAUGAUGUAUUCAAAGUUGAGUAUGAUAAGAGAAAUAUGCUAACUCUUUAAAAAAUAGUAAUGAAUGAAAUUCAAGGGUUAGGUGAGAAAAACUUUGAUGAAUGAAAUGAUUAUUCAAAAGUUAAAUCAAUCAAAAGUUUUUCUAAUAUGAAUAGAUUGAUAGGGAGUAGAUAAAGAAUGAAAAUUGAAUCGAUAAGAUCAAUAGUAUCUCACUUUAAUAUUAUUAGAAGUGUAUUUAAUGCGGACUGAUAUGCUAUUUAUAGUAGUAAAAUCAUCAAAAUUUCUGUCCUAUCAGACAGUCAACUAGCCGUUUUUGGUCAAAAAUCAGAAUGGUCGAUAUUUGGACCGUUGGGCAAACUUGCUCUACCGAAUGUCCACCAGAUAUACCGAACACAUCCGGUACGACCAAUUAAAAAAAAAAGUCUUUUAUCAUUUGGAAAAAAAUAUGACCCCUUGAAGAAUAAUUUUUAAGCUUAUUUUUCAAGUUUUUGACACUUCCCAAAUAUGCAAUAAAGUUCAUACCUUCGAAAAAUAAUUUUGUAUGUGAAAAUAUUUUGAAACGUCGUUUUUCCUUAUACAUAAAAAUUUUAUCUUGAUCCUCAAACAAUAUUGCCAAUUUUUAAAGCGUUUUAACCUUACACUUAAAUUCAAGUUAUCAAAAUCUAAUAUCUUCAAUGUCAGACUUGAUAUAGUGUUUGUCUUCAUUGAUUUGUCUUGUAUGCUCAGCUUUUAUCUCGUCUUGCAUUGCUCACCUUUUGCGGGUCUUCCAAUGGUGAACUUUUCAUCUUCAAUUGAUCAAGCUUGCCACAAUUUCUAUAAUCACUCAAAUAUGAUUGUUAGAGAUAUAAGCAAUUUGUUUACUAUAAUCAAAACGUGAAGUCAACAAUAUUGAUCUGAUUUUGGUCCCCACUUGAAUUUUGCCUCCGUUUUAGACUCUUUCUUUACUCACUUUUUUUUACUCUUUCUUUUGGCUAAUUUUUUUGACUCUUUGCAUAGAAAAUUUGACUACAAUUCCAACAAAACAAACAAAAGUUGAUUUUGAUACUAAAUUAGCCCAAAAAUAACUUUUGAAAUUUUGACGGGAAUUUUAUGGAUCAAAGACUAAAAAAGAAUGAAAAAUAUGAAGAACACAAUAAGGAAACACGAUAAAGAAAAACAGACAGACUCAACAAAAACAAAAAGGGAUAUAACCUUGAAUUUUGGAGUCCAUGCUCUAAUACCAACAGCUGUGAACCCGCGCAGCAACAGUGGCUACAAAACCCCCUACUAGAUCGAAAUCGGAUCCCAAGAAUGUCAACAAGCAAAUUAUUGUAAUAACUUUUUAUAUACAUCAUUUGCAAACAAGAAAUUAUACAUAGUGAUGUGUGCAUUUUAUUCACUUAUUUGAACCGUUAAAUGAUAUAAAUUAUAAUUAAUUUGUGUAACGCCAUGACCCGCAUGGAUCGAGUCGUCACAAGAUUAACUGUACUUAGGCCGUAAACUUAAUAAAUAACUAUACUCCUAGUGGAAAAAUAUACAAAAUAAAUUUAAGAGUUUAAUUCAAGAAAUAUUUAAAAAAAAAAACAAAAUAGUUCAAUACUAAAAGAAACAUUUCAAAAAAUAUAUAUAUAUAUAUAUGUAUGUAUGUAUGUAUGUAUGUAUGUAUGUAUGUAUGUAUGUAUAUAAUGGUUUCCAUUAAUUGAACCACUAUUGACGUCAAUUUUUUGGCAAAACUUUAAAAAUAAUGUUGCUGUUUUAUUUUUUUCUCUCAAACGACAAUUGUCAAAAUAAAUUCGUUUGCAUGACUAUCAACCUCAAAACUUCAUGAAAUUUUUAUGUAAAGUAUAAAACUCCUUAUAAUAUGACAUAUCUGAAAAUUGGCUCUCAUCGGAAACAUAUAGGGUACUAAAUUAUUUUUCAAAACUCCGCAGCGACUAGGGAUGGAAGGUAACCCAGCGCCGCUUACCUUAAAGGUCAUAUAAAGUUCUACACACGUUGAAUCAAUAUGAUUUCAACUAUAGUCAAUAGCUAACGCCUGAUACUAUUAAACCCAAUUGAUUUCGUCCAAAAACUUCAAGUAACGAGUGAGUUAUGAAUUUUUGAAACUAAGGGCAGAAGCUGAAUAACAGCUCACUUCCCAGUGCCGUCUACUUUAUGUGACAUAUAAAAUUCUACCAAUAUCGAAAUGACAUGAUUCCAAGUUCAUUCAGUAGCUAACCUAUGGGGCUAUCCAACGCCACUAGUUUUGUCUAAAAAUUCCAAGUAACAAUUUAGAUAAGAAUUUUUAAAUUCAAGGCAGAAACUGAUAUUUUUAAAAAAACAGCAAACUUUAAGUUGCUAACGCUUCCUUUUUCUUUUUUUUUUCUUUUUUUUUAAACGGUGAUUCGUAAAUUGAUUUCUUGACACAUAUCUCCUUUUAAACAUAAUUUAUUCAUAAAUAAAUAUUCUUGAAAUAUCUCCACAUAAGAUGUCCAUAGAAAUCUAUUUAACAGAAAACAAACGCAAACAUUUCAUAAUCAAAUUUAAAAUAUCAAGUCACUAGCUUUCUCCAUGGCAUGUCGCAUCAUCCUUUACCAUCAUCCACGCCCAAGGAAGUCCGUUCAACUUGUAGGAAGGGAAUUAACCCAUGAGUUUGAUACUCAAUAGAUAUCAUUGGUGCAUUUCGUUCUCAAAUUAGAAAUUUCUAACUAUAGAUUCAUACUGUCGCACGUAGAUGGAUUUUCAGUAAAAUCCAAUUUUUGUAGCAUUAUUAUAACACGUAGGCCAGAAAAUGAUCAUUCAAACUGUCGUAGUGCUGAAACACCGUAACCUAAGGUACCAUUUCAUUCAAACUAUAGUAGUACUGAAGCACCGUACCCAAAUGUACCAAUUCAUUCAAAAUUUUAUCGAAAAAUCAAAAUUUGAAAAAUGAAAUAACACUUGCACAUCUACCUACCUUCGUUUGAUGCUUUUGAAUCAAUGAAGUUGGUUGGUGAAUGUUGUUUCCCAAUAGAACCCAAAGCUUUUCCUUUCUUUUGAAAAUCUUUUCCGUGAUCAAAGUUUGCUCCCUUUUUUUUUGUGAAAUUAGUAUGAAAAAUACUAGUUUUUCGUCCCUGCAAUGCACGAGAUGCUUUAUUUUGAAGGUAAUGUUAAUGUUUUAAAAUGUCAAGGAUUGAUGGAAAAAUCUGUUAUAAAAUUUUGAUACACACAUUUGUAUAAAAGAAAAAAUGUUGCCUCAAUUACAAUAUAAUUCAAAAGUUCCACAUCAAGGUACAAUUCUACAUAUUAUAUAUAUAUGGCAUCCUAGGAGAAGUGGUGUUACUAUAUUUCCAUUCACAAGAAAAACUACAGUUGUAAUACGUUUCACACCUCAGCAUGCGUAUGGCCAGAUAUCCAACAAAAUGGAAAGCAAAAAAAAUAUAUAUAUCCAUAUAGCAUGAAGAAAUGCAUAAAAACUACACAGCGUAUACUAGAAUUUCAAGCAUGUUAAAGGUAAUCACCUCCAUCAAUAAUAUCUUACUUUGAUUAACGAAAUUUGACAUUUUUUUUCUCAUCCAUAAUUUUAGUUUUUCAUUGUUCCUGUAAUAAACAAAUCAUAAUUGCAUUGAGUAAUUAAAUUACUUGAGAAAAAGGAUUUAUAAAAUAAAAUGAACAGAUUGUAUAAUCAUUCACGGGUAUAUGUAUUCUUUAUCAGAGCUGGUGUGAAGGAGUUGGAGUCUCUGAACCAAUUCUACGACAUUUUGUUGGUGAAAUUGCAACCUUUUGCAUUGUAUAACUUAAAUCCUAGCCUAUUGUCAUCGAAGUUUAAUUUACCUACGGAACACAUAAAUGAUAUUUCUUAAUUAUACUCAAAAUAUAAGAGAGAAGCAAGUGGGUUUGAACCAAUAGAGAACAACCAAUUUGAAACAAAGAGAUGAAUCCCAAAAGCAGAUAUACCACGUAAAUGCAUACAAGUAAUUAUAAUUAUUGUAGAUGUUGCAUAUGCUUUCCAUAGAUAGGAUGCCCAAAUCCUUCAAUCUAUAGUGAGCAUACAUUUUACAACGUAUUCUUUACCUUGUUUUGUUGGAGUCAUCGCGUAUCCACCACUUGCUUAUAGCACAGUGUUCGGCACAUUUUAGCUAGUUAUGUGUUUAAAUUAAAGUUGAUCGUGUUAGGAACUAAAAUACAUUUGUUCAAAGUUAUGAAAAGUUUGAUUGUUAUUUUCGUCAUUUUAAAUGUAUAAUCUAAAAAUAGGUUUCUAAUAAAAAACAAACAAGAUAAACAUCAACAACUCCAUUUUUCAACAACGUCAAUCAAGGAUAGCCAAAAUUUUUGAUCAACAUUAGCAAAAGAUCUAAGAGACUAAGACCCUCUCUUUUCGAUUAAAAAUACCAAAAUCACCAACCUUGAUCUUUUGAGAAGUCCAUAUUACACCAUACUCGGCAUUGAAUAGUUUCUCAUAAUCAGAUUUACCUUCAACCCCUAAAUUCAAACAUUAAAGAUAAUUAAUAUAAACCAAAUACUAAUCCUUUUACUACUACUUAUAGAAAACUCAAUUUUGAAUCUCAAAAUUUUAAAUGAAAUCUUAUGAUGGAGACAAAACUUCAUCUUUUUCUCAAACAUUAUGGCAGGAAAAAUCCAGAUUGCUAAUACCUGCAAAGAGUGUGCUAAGCAUCACAAAAGGGAUUAAAUUAGAAAAUAGAAUCACCUAAAGUAGCAGAGAAGCUUUAGCACAAAGAACACCUUUGAUAAAGGAAAGGCUAUUUGAUCUAGUACUGAGACAUUGCUUCUCAAUGUACGCUUUCUGUUUCACUGAAUUUCAAACCCAUAUAAUGUGGUAAUUGUGAUAUUUCUGGGCUAUAUAUAGAGCAAGUGAUCGCUAGCCACGUCCAAAAUGAACGACAAUGUGUCCAUCUUAAAUUUGCGACCUCUCACAAUACAGCCACUAACAUUGCCUUUUCAACAUCCUCUAAGGUGCUUCACUUGUCUGGAAAGAAAUGGCAACUGCGCCAAAUCAUGCAUACAUACCUUGAUUAGCUUGUAAUAUUGAGUCAAUGAUUUUGCAAAAUUAGCAUGUAACAGAAUUCCCAAAAGAGCUAGUCUAUCAAUUGCUUUCAAUUUAAAACACCUAACUCCAGUAAACAUCGACAUGAAAGAUGUGUGUUAUACAAGAAUAAAAAUUUUGAGGACAGAGAAAUAGUUACUUAUAUUCAAGAUGCUUUCCAAGAACAAGCUUGAAGAAAGAUGUUGGAACUUCAUAAUGUUGGGAUUUUGGCCUUUCAGUCUUAAUGGCUAGUGGCAUUUCUCUUAAUGCUGCAAGGAAAGAACAAUUAGUAUAGAUAUUUUUGGAGAAAUAGAAGUUCCAUAUUGACAAAUCAAAUGGGAAGGAGGGGAAAAUUGGUGAUCCUGUGAAGAAGACAGGGUGUUGGAUUAAGUUGAGAUAUAUUGGCAUUCAUACUAGUUCAAGAUCAAGCUCUACAGAUUAAUUUUUUCUUUAAAUACAUGUAAACACCACUAAGGCUUUGUAUGUUAUGAAGAAAAAAAUAUUUUUCUUUAUAUCCUUGUCUUCAAUUCAUGCUUAUUGAUAUGAUAUGUAAAUCGAUCGAAAGUUCGAUUCUAUCUCAAGGCCUCAUUUUAAAUGAUAUCUUCAUUGUUUACAAAUAUUUGUUUUGAUUUAAAAAAUUUCCUAUAGUUUAAUUAAUAAGAAUUUCUGCAUUGAACCCAAAUUUAAACCACUUAUAAACACUUUUCAAACAUGCUUUAAUGCAUAUGGGCAUUUUUAUCAUAUUCUACUGUAGCAAUAUCAAACUUAUGGCUCAAACUUCGACAAAAUAUUGUUAUCAUCAUAUCCAUUGUGAUUAACAACAAAGUUAAAAGUUGGAACAUGAUUUGGAAGGGUGAUUACCUCAGUUGUUCCUUGAAGGAUUGGUCUAGCCAUCAGAACCUCAGUAAAUACACAUCCAAUGCUCCAAUGUCCUCAGAAGAUCCAAAAUUUGUAGAGCCCAACAAAAGUUCAAGACGACCAUAAAAUAACUACUUCACUCGUAAAAGGUAUCUGUCCGUAAAUACCAAAAUUUACUAAGCCAAAAUAGGCCACCUUUAGAAUUUCUACAUUGAUUUGUACCUUUAAUAUCCCAAUGCAUUACAAUAUGAGAAUGACAAUGCUCAAUUUCAACAAUAAUUGUUUCAUGUAGCAUUUAAUCUGUAAAAUGAGCUAAUUAGAUCUUAUUACGUAACUAAACAGAAGUUCACUAAUUCUUCAGAAGCAAUGAGAAAAAAUAAUACAACUCUUAUCAUUUUUAGUGAAUCAUCUCAGCCCCUGUUUGGAGGAAUUUAUAAAUAAUUUAAAAUUGGUCAAAUUUCAUAUCCAACUAGACAUUUUAAUAAACUCACAAGUAUUAUCCACUUUUUUAUUCCUCAUUUCUAUUUAUUUAUAAAUUAAUCUGUUUGUAAAUUCUUCCCAAAAAUGGAGGUUUGUUAUGCACACAUUAACUAUUGAAGACUUCACAAUUAUCAUCUCUUUUUUACCUUGUGGAAAAUUUUAAUUUUACACUAUAAUACUUCCAUAUAUUAUGAUAUCUUCAUUUCUCUGCUUCAGAGUCAUCUAAACAGUGUAAGGUGUGCAUCACCAAUCAAAUUAGUUUGUUCUAAUCCAUUUUGCUCACUAAGAGAAUAGUAUAUCAUUUCACAUAAAUAUCCAAACCUGUUCUUCAUUGAACUUGAUGUACGGGAAGAUAAUAACCUGAAGAUAUCAUGUUUCAUGGACUCAACACCAGAUAUAUGCUGCUUGAUAAUCACAAGGUAAUUAAACUUUCGAAGCUUAUUAUAUUUGGAUGGUCAAGCUGGUGAAGAAUAUGUUUUUUUUACAUAGUAAUUUUUUUAUUAAUAUAAUUUUAAAAAUUUAAAUAUAUAGUAUAUGGCUGAUAGUUGAUAGCGUGAGAAAAUGGAGAAAAAAUAGUGUCAGAUUCAAAACAAUGGUAUGAAAAAAUUGCUCCAACGUGAUUGAAUGGAAUAAUAUAUGGUUGAUAAUUGAUAGUGUGAGAAAAUGAAAAAAAAGUAUUGUGUGUCAGAUUCAAAGCAAUGGCGUGAAAAAAUUGCACCAGCGUGAUUGAAUGUAAUAAUAUACUAUUGUUAAACCAGUUCAAUGUGAAAUUCAAUAUGACAUAAAUAAACAAUAAACCCCACAUAAGGUGAAAAAUGGUGCAUAAAUGUUCCGUGCAUGGAGCAAAAUUGCUCUGUGCACGGAGGCUUCAACGUUUUUUUUUUUUUUUUUUUUUUUUUUUUUUUUUUUUUAAUUUCAUUUUUUUACUUUUAAAUAACUUGGAGUAAUUUUUUUUUACCUAUUAGUAAUUAUUUACAUUUUAGAGAUAUACUUAAAGCUCAAAGUUAAUAUUUUCACUUAUAAGUAAAUUUUACAAUUAUAAGCUUUUUUAACUCUUAAAUAACAUUUACCUUUUUUUUUACCUACUACUAUAAGUAACUUUUUAAAUUUUAGGAUUAGGAAAUAUUUUUUAUCUUAUUAUUAUCAGUUGAAGUAUUUUUUUUUUUUUUAGUUAUAAGCAACUUUUUGUAUAUUUUAGAUAAAUAACUUUAAGCAAACUUUUUAACAUUUGGGGAAAUAUUUUUUAUCCUAUUAUAAUGAAUCACUUGAUGUAAAAGAAAAUUAUUUCAACAAAUAUUAUUAUAUUACUACUAAAAUUAUAGGAUAUGAUUGACAGCGUGAGAAAAUGGAGAAAAAACAUUGUGUGUCAGAUUCAAAGCAAUGGAGAAAUAUUGCAGUGGAGGUGACAUUGUAGUCAAAUGGCGUAUGAAAAAAUACAUACAGUGUUUUUGAAUAUAAUUUUUCUUGUUGCCAAACCAAUUUCCGAAUCAAUUCAAUGUGAAAACAAGUGUAACAAAAAUGAACAGUAAACCUCAUAUUCUCUUUUUUUAUGGUAAGUAGGAUAUAUAUGAAAUGGAAUAGGAAUAAUUUGGAGGAAAUGAAAGGUCUACACUUUUUCUUUAUUGGUAAAUGUAAAAUUCAUUGAUCAAAAUUCGUAUACAACUACACCGGGCAUUCCCGGGCUUACAUUAUUCGACAAUGCACAUCUUGAAUAUCAAUCUAGAUGCCCAGUGCUAAAACUUCAUAAUGAUGCAAAACAUAAGGAUACAAAGAAAAUAUGACUUUGUAAACAUGUGUUUUAAUGCGUCUGAUGAUGCUAUCGGGAUGCUGCCCGAGAUCUUCAAAAAGUAGUCUGUUUCUAGCUAUUCAAAUAUGGUAAACAAUGCUUGCGAGCACUAUUUUCUUGGCUUUAGGUUGCCAAGAAGUCCCUUGUCCCUGCUUCUUGAUCCAUUUCAGAGCACUUGAUAACGUAGUCAUGGCUUUAGUGAUCCCAAGCCAUGCUCUAACUUGGCCCCAAAUUUUUGUGCUCAUGCGACAUUAGAAGAAAAGAUGCUGGACGGAUUCUGUUGCAGCUUGACAAAAUACACAUCGGUUGUCAAUCUCCAUGUGUUGUAUUUGAUCUUUGGUAAGGAGCUUGGUUUUCACACUAAGCCAAAGUAUGAAGGAAUGUUUAGGAGUGAUGCAUGAACUCCAAACAAUCUUUGCCUAGAUAGUUGGUGUCCCCUUCGGUCGAAAGUAAUCAUAAGCUUUAGCAAUGCAUAUAUUAUCUUCUUGGAUCCAGCUUGAAAUUCUUUGCGAGGCAGCAUGAUUUGAUCCUUCAACUUCCUUCAUGUGUUGUGUAAUAGAUAGUAUCUUUUUGAAUAGUGGUGAGUCAUCCUUUUUGGGUGACCUUUCCCAUAUUGAUGCCCCUCUCAAAUACACGUGAUUGAUCCAUCGCACCCAAAGUGUGUCCUUCUUGGCAUGCACGUUCCACAACGACUUGGCUACUAGUGCAUUGUUCCAGCAUUUUAUAUCUCAAAAUCCAAGUCCGCCCUCACUUUUGGGAAGACAAACUUCGGACCAUGCAACCAAUGAUUUUCUGGAAUUCCAAAGGAAAAUCCUACAAAGCUGUGUGAUCCUGAUAGUGACUGCAGCGGGUAUUGGGAAUAUAGAUAACCAGAAGCAUUCAACACCCUGUGAGACUGAUCUUAUUAGUUCAGCCUUGCCCGCAUAAGAUAAUGAUGAGCUCGUCCACGCAUGUAUAUAUGUAGCUAUCUUAUCAAAGAAAGGGGCAUAGUGGCUGACUUUUAAUUUUCCCGCAACUAAUGGAACCCCGGAAUAUCUGAAUAGCCUGGAUCCUCUCGGCAUGUUUACCAAAUCUUGGAUGUCAUCCAAGUCUUGGCCCUAAAUACCGGCCGUAAAUAUGUUGGAUAUACUUGCAUUCAUCCUUAGCCCCGAGCAAUCUCCAAAUUUGGAUAAACAAUUAAUCAGUAUGGGCACCGAUAUAAUGUCGCCUCUAGCAAACAACAUCAGGUCAUCCGCGAAUGCAAGAUGUGUGAGUUUCAAUGGCCCACACUUCGGACAAUAGUUAAAGUCGGGGUUGUUGGUAGCCACUUUCAAAGCUCUUGAAAGAUACUCAAGACAGAUCACAAAUAAGAAAGGUGAUAAGGGAUCACCUUGUCGUAAGCCCCUUUUACCUUUAAAAAAUCCAUGCAUGCUGCCAUUAAUUACAAUCGAGAAUGAGGGAGUUGAUAUGCAUACCAUCACCCAUUGUAUGAAUCUGCUCGAAAACCCAAGUCCCUCCAGAACAGAUUUCAAAAAAUCCCAAUAAAUGGAGUCAUAUGCCUUUCUGAGAUCGAUCUUGAGUAGGCAUCUAGGCAAUACUCUCUUCCGAUUGUAUUGCUUCAGUAGUUCCUGUGCAAGAUGGACAUUCUCGAUCAAGCUCCUCCCCUUCACAAAAGCCGCUUGCGCAUUUUCAAGGAUAGGUGCCAAUCUGUUGUAUAGAAUUUUGGUAAUGGUCUUGUAGACCACAUUGCAGCAUGAAAUAGGUCUAAAACCCCCAAUUGUGGAAGCAUGACUUCCCUUCGGAAUCAAGGCUAUGAUGGUAUGAUUAAUCUGUUUUAGGAGUAAACUAAUAUCAAAGAAUUCAGUAACAGCAUCAACAAAAUCACCCUCAAUCAUCUCCCAAGCUUUCUUAAAGAAGCACGAACUGUAUCUAAUGUUAAACAAAGCAUCCUUAAUCUCUUAUGGGGAGAUAUCUCUAACAAGAGAGUCUGCCUGUUCUAAAGAAAGUGAUGGCCCUUCACUUAAAAUGUUCCGAUCAAUGGGUUCACAUGUAUGAUUUGUCCCAAGCGGGUUUUGAUAGUAGCCUAGAAACUCAGCCUCCACCUCUGCGAAGGAGCUCGUGGACAUCCCAUCCUCUUUUAUUACAACAGCAAUGAAAUUUCUUUUUGCAUUCCUUUUUACUAAAGAGUGGAAGAAUUUCGUGCAUUUAUCACUCUUGGUCAAGUGAACACAUUUGGCCUGUUGAUAGUAAAAGCUUCUCUCUGCAUCACAUAUAUCCACGGCUUGCUUUCGCAAGAGUGCAAUUUAACUUUGUAACUCAAUUUUCGUCGGUUGAUCAUGCAGUUCCAUUUGUGUUGCCUUUAGAUCAUUUCUGGCUUUCUCAGCUCGGGCAGAAAUGUGAGUAAAGUGCUUGUUAUUGAGCUGCUUAAGAUUCUCCUUGAGCCUCUGUAACUUUUUGCAAAGAUUAAACUGCUUCGUUCCGUAGAUUGGUUGGUUCCAACUGGAAGAGACGACAUUCUGAAAUUUAGAAUGAUCCGUCCACAUAUUGAAAAUUUUAAAAUGUUUGCCUUUCCCUCCUCCUUUUUGGGAAAGCGAUACAAUGCAUGGCGAAUGGUCCGAAAGGCAACCUGCUGGCUGGAAAUUUGCUAAGGCAUGUAUUCCUGUCUGUUGCCACAAUUCAUUAACCAUAGCUCUAUCGAGCUUGCUCCAAACUAAAGGUAUGUUGCUUUUUGAGUUUUUCGACCAAGUGUAAUAGCAUCCAAUGGAUCGCAAGUCUGUUAGACCUACAGUUAAACAACAAUCUGCAAAAUCCCUAAUCUCAUAUGGAACAACAAUCUGCAAAAUUCCUAAUCUCGUACGGAGUCACUUCCACUCCAUUGCAUUUUUCCUCAGGUGAAAGUACACUAUUAAAAUCACCCAAGACCAUCCAAGGUAUCAAAAUGUGGCUCCAAAAUUAAUUAGAUUAUUCCAUAAUGGCCUCCAAGUAACAAAAGAAUGGAAACCAUAUACAAAACUCAAAUGAAAUACAAUAGAAGUUACCUUGCAGGUGACUUCGCAAUGUAUAACCUGUGGGGCAGCUUCUAAGACACACAGGUUGGCUUUUGUUCUGUCCCAUAGGACUAAUAUUCUCCCUGCCGGAUGUGAAGGGAAAUUAUCUGUAUGACACCACCCAAAAAAUUUAUUCCUCAAGAUUCGAGCUAGCUUUUGUUGGUUUAUUUUCGUCUCCAGAAUACCAACAAUAUCAAUGCAUUCUUGGCUAAUGAGGUAGCGAACCCCAUUUUGUGUUUAGGGGCAUGUUGAAGCUCCUAAUGUUCCAUGAAGCAAUCUUCAUGAUAAUAUAAAGAGGGCAUUCCCCCUCUUUUUAUCCUUCGUCGAUUGUUUAGGUGGUUGCUUGUCAAGCUUUCCUUUAAGCCUAUCAUUACUUGCUGGCUUUGAUGUUGGGACUACGGGAUUCACAUCUGUAUCAUGUAAGUUAGGCGAUUCAAUACCUGCUCCUGACUUCUGUACAUGCACUUUAUCACUUGCAAUAGGUUGUGGUGUAAUCCGUUUAGGCAUCAAUCCUUUGGCUACAUUCAUCGCUUUAUUAUUCCUGCCCACUUCAAUAAAGGGGUUAUAAUCCUCAUUUUGAUCAACUGGGGCGCCUAGUUUUGCAUUGGCAUCUGUUUGGCCAGAUGUAUCAUUCUGGCCAGUUGGAUCUUCCUGUGAUGUGGUUGCUUCCAGGGAACUGGACUGUUCAGUUGUGGCCUUAUUCGUGUUGUUAGCAGUGUUCUGACUGUCUACAGCUGGUUGACUCGAGCCCCCAACAAUAUUCUGUCCCGUUGUUGCCUUAUUCAAGUUUGCAGAAAUGUUCUUCCUGUGUUCAGCCAAUUGACUCGAACCCCCAGCAAUUUUCUGGUCAUGAGCUACAUCCUUUAAUGAUUACUUAGGAGGAAUGGCGUGCUUGUGGCCAGCAGUUCCAUCUUUCAGAUUGCAUGAAUAUAUUUUGUGACCAAAUAUCUUGCAAGUGGAAUAGAAUUUUGGCUCAUGCUCAUAAUAAACCACUUGUUCCCUUAAUUAACCAUUCAGAAGUUCCAUCUUUACUGGACGGAUUAGGUCCUUUGAUGCAUCGACCUCAAAGAGAAUUCUUGCAAAAGAUAACCGGCCCUUUGUAGUUGUAAGCAAAUCAGUUGUGACCAGUUUUCCAAUCUUCGUAGCAAUCAUACUCAGUGCUUUGGGCGUCCAAAAAUUCUGUGGCAGCCCUGGUAACGUUACCCAAAUCAGCAUGGUGGUGAUAUCAUUAUCAUUAAACUCAAAAAAUGGUGAGACAUGCUUCAGCAUUAGUGGUCGCCCAUACACAAAGUAAGGGCCUCUUUCCAGCACUUGGUUCUGUCAUCAUCAUUCUCGAACUUGAACACGAGCCAUCCACAUUGGUGGACAAAGUAUUGGUACUUGAUGCCCCAUUGAUCACACAUCUUCAAGAGGGCUGUUUUGCCGGGGAAACGUCCAGCAAAGUAUCCCACCAGACAGGAACCCCAAGCUGUCUGAUCAUGUUCAAUAUCAGCUUCAUCAAAAACCAGUAUUUCUAGUAAGUUUUCACAGGUUCUAAGCUUGAAACCAUUCUCACGCUUAUGGUUCUCCUUGAAUAAACUUGCCCACGGUGCCUUAGUGGUAUCAGAUUCCUUCACUUGGCUUAAAUUGGUGGUUUGCUUAACUGCAGUAGAUCCAUCCUCCGAAUCUGUAUCUUCAUCACCAAGUGUUUGAGAUAAACUUAGGGAAUUUGAAUUGGCAUGGUCAAAUUCCUGCCAGAAUGUCUUCGCAGAAUCCGUGGGGUUGGUUGAGGAUUCGCGACCUUCCUUUCCUUGUGUAGAUUCUGCUAACUUGGUAAUCUUUCGGAAUUGUUGGGAAGUGCUGGAAAUCCGACCUGAUUUAAGGUCGUAUUUGGUAAGUUACCAUCCUGAUUUGGUAGCCUGCCAACACUAAUUGGUAGCCUCCCACGAUUAUUGCUAUUAGACUUUUUUCCCAUAUGGAAAGGCUGAAAUCUUGCAAUAACAGCCUAUAAUCUCUCUCCUUCCAAAAUUAGCUUUCCGGUGCCACCAUAAUUCUGGCAACUCAAAUUGGAUUCCGGAAUUUGUAGAAGAUAGCAAGAAUUUCUAGUAAUCUGCAGAAAUCAGCAACAAACAGGAAGAAAUCUUCUAGAGACAGCCUAUACCCAGAUCUGGAUUGAUUCUUUCUACAAAGGAUUGAAAGAAACUCGAAAUUGCACCCCCCAAAAUCCUGAGAUGCGACUAGAACAAAUGCUUCCUUGGUCAGAAAUUGGUGCAAUACAGAUUCCCAAACAAGUCCCUGAGUUGUAUUGGCCGUUUACCCAAGAAAAGGGUAAAAAUCAAACAAGAACAGGAAGAUUUGAAGCUCUUCCGAACGCAAUCUAGCAGAACCUUCAAAAUUUUGAAGAGCGUCUCAAUGAAUCCGGAUGAAACUUGAACAAUAUGGAUGGAAAAAAACAGAAAUCCAAGUUGCAGAUUUGAUUUCCACAUAAAGUGUGACUUUCUUUCUCUCACUAGGUUGAGAGCACCUCUCUCUAACUCACUUCUUAUCAUAGGUUUUUAAGUCUACACUUUGUUUGUCUUUAAAAAACGAUGGAAUCACCUAUGGAAUUGAGAGUAAAGUGCAAUUACAUUUGCAAUAACUAUUGGGCUGCUUUAUUUCACAUAUAAUAUAAAUUAAAGGAAUGUGAAUAGCCUGAAGAAGAUGAAAAAUCAGUGCCAAUUUCAAGGAAAAAACGUUUGUAGCAAACUUACAUUUUAUGCCUUUUCAUUUCCACUCAAUUUAAAAUAAUUUGAAUGCCUUUUAAAAUCAAGAGUUUAAGUUGCAUAAACAUGUGAUCAUGUGUGUGCAUAGUUUUAGGAUUUUAAUGACUUGUCUAUAUCAACUAAUUAGACUAAUUGUUUGACUAUUCAAUCUAAAGUUAUUUUUAACGUGUAGUUAUAUAUAAUACUAUAUAUUUGUCAUUUUAAAAAAUAACAUGUAUGCAAAUCAUUUUUUUUUUUUUUUAAUAUUUAAAAUAAAUUUUCACCGUCGGGUCCAAUCGUUGGGAAAAACAUUAAAUUAUACAGUCCAACUUCAUCAAAUAAUUUUUAAAAACAUGUAUGGUGGUUGAACUUGGGUUGCACAUUGAACCACCAUAAGAUUGUAAAUAAAUUCAUUUUAAAACAUAUUGGACUAAUAUUGAGCUUUCAUUUCUUAAGUGGGUCGAGCAUGAGGUUCAUCUAUAGGGUAGGCUCGUGAUGCUAUAUCGUCACAUUAAAAUGUGGGCCUAAUUUCAUUUUACUUUUCGGACUUCUACAAUUUAGAUGACUUAUGACUUAAUUAGAUGUUAAUAUUUUUGUAGGUAAAACUCAAGGCAAAUUGGUUGAAUUGGAAGAAAUGAAUGAAAAGGGGCAAAACCAGUCCAAAGUUUGAGACUAAUGUGUAAAAAUCUAUUAGCUCAUUCAAAAAAAUCACCAUUCAAAAAAAUCACAUUUGAGCAAUUAGAUGCAAUUGGAGUUCAAAGGAGUGAAAUAUAAAUAUUUUCACUUUAAUAAUUGAAUUUACAAUAGGCAACCAUUGAAAAACAAGUAUUUGUUUGGUACGGAAUGGAAGAAAAACUCCAAAACAUCAAUACUUUUGAUCCACAACCGCAAAACACCACCCAAAUCGAUGAUAAGACACUCCCAACAACAUCCAAAUUUGAUUUUCAGCAACAAACAAUAGUUUCAGCUUUUGGAUUGGAUUCAAACCCCACCCCCCCCCAAAAAAAAAGGGUACACACCCCAAUGCCUCCAUUUCGACCACUUCCAGUCAGAUUUUGGCAAUGAUACCACCGCCAAUGAACUCGAAAGGCCCAAAAACCCUUGGGUGGUGAUCGGCCAGAUUGUCGAAAAAUCAAGAAAUUCGGCCUCUACAGACCUCGCCUGGGGAAAUGUGCCUGAACAAGAAUUAUUUUUUUAUUUAAAAAAAAAAAAAAAAAAAAAAAAAAAAAAAACCCAACAUUGACUGAUGCAAAACUCAAUACUACAUGGUAUCAACUUGGUUGAGCCAAAUGUAAGUUCUCUGAAUUUGAACUUCAAUACUACAUCAAAUGCUAACAAUUUAUCCUUAAAUCCCGAUCCCAGAGUGUUUCUGAAAGAGUAUUGAUGUGAUCCAUGGUGCACUAGAAAUUUUCGAGAACUUGGCACAUGUUGAUGAGCGAUCAAGACCAAGUUCUGAGCUAAGUUGGGGGCUGAUCUGGAUUGAUAAAGCCAGACGAUGUCAUGGUCAAGCUAUGAAUUUCAAAAUGGAAGAAAAAUUGGGCCAGAUUUUUCCAAUUCUCGCAAGUGUUUUAUUUUGGUUAGAAUUUCAUUUUUUUUUUUGGUAAUCUUAUUAUUCUAGGACUCUUAAUUUUCAUCUUUUCCAUAUUUUCUAGGUUUUAGCUUUAGCAUAAAUAGCUUUUAAUUUUCAUUGUAACACUAAGACUUUGAUGAAUUGAUUAACGGAGAUUUUCUCUUUCAAGGCGUGAUGCUUCAAAAAUUAUCGAACUUAUCGGGAUCAUUUUCUUGUGGCGUUCAACAAAACCGGGUGAGAUUUGUAAUCCUUGUAAUUAAGAGGUCGUUAAUUUAAUAUAUUAAUGGUUGCUUAAUUCAUUGCUUGCGUGUUAAAUUCAAAACCAUCGAUUAUUGGCAUUCUUGGGAAUUGUGGCAAUCUAGUUGUGGGUUCGUGAGUGUUCGUUGCUCACGGGUUCGUAUCAGUUGGUAUCAAAGAUUAGGCUCCAAAAAUCAAAGGUUAUAUCCUUUUUUUUAAUUCUUAUUGAGUUAGUUUUUAUUUUUCAUUAUUGUUUUUGGUUUUCUUUGAGUCAGUCAGUAAUUUUAGAGUCUUUUGAUUCAUAAAAAUCACAAAAAAAAAUUUAAAUCUUGUUUUUUGGCUAAUCUAACGUCCAAAUCCUAUUCCAUUUGUUCCGUUAGUGUCAUAGUCGAAUUUUCUAUCUAGUGAGUCAAAAAAAAAAAAAAAUUUACUGUUCAGAAGUCAGAAAAUUAAAAAAUUAAAUUCAUUGUUUGAAUUAUCUUUAUAUUCCUUCUAGUUUCAAGCUAUUCAAUCCAGCCAGUCAGAGAUUCAAGACCACUUCUUGAAUUUUCAUACCUUUUUCCAAAGUUUCUGUCCAAUUCUUUGAGUCUUUAAAAAUUCCCGAGUCUCACCCACAACCCAAUUGAAAACCAAUCAAUAUGUCUGAAAGGAUGAUGCGACAAUUUGAGAAAAUGUUGGUGGAUAUGGUAAAUAGAUUGGAAACUAAGUUAGACAGACUGGAUGUGAAAUUGAAAAAUAUUCAUAGGGAUGAAUGUGAUGGGGUGUUCAAUGUGAGGAGAUGAGAACCUAGGAUGAGAAAUUGUGAUGCAUUUGGGGAUGGUUAUGAUAUUGAUGGAGUACGAGGAUGGAGAAAUAAUUUUGAUGGGUUUGAAAGAAGGCGUAGGAUUGAUCAACGUGAACGGGAUCCUAGAGAGAUACUUAGGAGAUGUUAUGGGGAUGAGUAUUCAAUGGAAAAGAAAAUUCCUUUUACGAAAUUUGCAGGUAGUACACCAAGCAAGAGGACGGGGUUGGAUUAUAGGCGGGAAUUGGUGGAGAUUCGUGACUUGAUAAAUUCUUAAAAUAAUCAUCCGAAGGUGCAAGAGAGUAAAAGUAAAAAAUGUGAGGUGGUUAUUUGUGAGAAAAAAAAAGAAGAUGAGCCACAAGAGAGUGAAAAGAAAGUCGAGGGUGGAAUUGAAAAGGGCGAAGUGGUCAAAAUAGAGGUGGAGUCACGAGAGAAAGAUGAAGAAGAGUCUUUGGAGAUGACCAAGGAAUUGGAAGUGAACUUAAUCGAAAAUGAGAGUGGUGUUGAAGGGGAAUUGGCAAUAACUAAUAAUUUCCUCCCUAUUUUGGACAUUCCAUUUUUGCAGGUUAUUGGAGACUUAGUCCAUGAAGACGAGCCAAUUGGGAUCCCUUACAACCUACAUUGAUAAUCAAUUCAUGGAUAACACUCAACAACAUCUUGGUUUGGAUUUCUCUUAUUUUCCAUUGGUUUAAUUUAUAAUUCCUGAGGAGACGAAGAAGUAUCAAUGGUGUUGGAAUGAAGUCACAUGCAUUGGAUUGAAUGGCAAGGAGUUCAUAUGCAAGGGGUUGGACUACAAAAUUGAUGUGCCAGGGAAUAUGCAUCCAAUUGAAAUAUCAUUGCUAAAAUUGCCCAGGCGAGAGAUGACAUGGAAAAUGCACAACGACUUAUCAAUUGAAAUAAUUCAUGGAGCAUUUCAAAGUUGCAAAAGUAUGCGGUCACGGCGUGAGCACUUGAUCUUUGUGAAGGAGAUUGGGUUUUUAAAUGCAAGGGGAGGAUCCGAGUUCAAAAGAGCUCUAAGUUUCAUCCAAGAUGUGACGGGCCAUUUCAUGUGAUUGCCAUGAUUGGGAAUAAAAGGUAUAUUUUGUUCGAUCAAGAUUUGGAUUUGAGGUCGAAUCCUUUCAAAGACAGAGGGAAUGCUAUGAUCCAAGGUGCACUAGAAAUUUUCGAGAACUUGGCGCAUGUUGAUGAGCGAUCGGGAUCAAGUUUUGAGCUAAGUUGGGGGCUAAUCUUGAUUGAUAAAGCUAGAUGAUGUCAUGGUCAAGCUAUGAAUUUUAAAAUAGAAGAAAAAUUGGGCCAGAUUUUUACAAUUCUUGCGAGUCUUUUAUUUUGGUUAGAAUUUCUUAUCUUUGGCAAUCUUAUUAUUCUAGGACUUUUAAUUUUUAUCUUUUCCAUAUUUUCUAGGUUUUAGCUUUAGUAUAAAUAGCUUUUAAUAUUCAUUGUAACAUUAAGACUUUGAUGAAUUUUUCGAGACAUGAUGCUUCAAAAUUACCGAACUUAUCGGGAUGAUUUUCUCAUGACGUUCAACAAACCCAAGUGAGAUUCGUAAUCCUUGUAAUUAAGAGGUCGUUAAUUUAAUAUAUUAAUGGUUGCUUAAUUCAUUGCUUGCGUGUUAAAUCCAAAACCGUCGAUUAUUAGCGUUCUUGGGAACUGUGGCAAUCUAGUUAUGGGUUCGUGAGUGUUCGUUGCUCAUGGGCUCACAAUUAAUAUAUUAUAUUAACGACCUCUUAAUUACAAGGACUACGAAUCUCACCCAGGUUUGUUGAACGCUACGAGAAAAUCAUCACGAUAAGCUCGAUAAUUUUUGAAGCAUCACGCCUCGAAAGAGAAAAUCUCCAUUAAUCAAUCCAUCAAAGUCUUAAUGUUACAAUGAAUAUUAAAAGCUAUUUAUACUAAAGCUAAAACCUAGAAAAUAUGGAAAAGACGAAAAUUAAGAGUCCUAGAAUAAUAAGAUUACCAAAAACAAGAAAUUCUAACCAAAAUAAAACACUCGCGAGAAUUUGAAAAAUCUGGCCCGAUUUUUCUUCCAUUUUGAAAUUCAUAGCUUGACCAUGACAUCUUCUAGCUUUAUCAAUCCAGAUCAGCCCCCAACUUAGCUCAAAACUUGGUCUCGAUCGCUCGUCAACAUGCGCCAAGUUCUUGAAAAUUUCUAGUGCACCUUGGAUCACAUCAAGUAUGCUAUGCUCAGUUGUCUCGGAUUCUAAACUGUAUUACCAGCAAGAUUGGCUACUUAUUUGGCCACAUCAUUCAUAUAUGUUACGGUUGGGCAAUGAUCAAGAACAUGGAAUUGGUCAUUCCUGUACUUCUCUAAUCUUUGAUCACUAACAGAAUUUUAUGUCUAUUAUGGUCGAAUCAAGUGUCAACAAAUUAACCUUAUUAAAGGUCAUAAUCAAACUUAAAAAUUGAAACAAUGCUAGCAUAUAUGGUACGCUCAAUUUCAAGGACCUAACCUGAAACAUGUAGCACAAACCUGGAUAAAAAUUUAGAAACACGGAGGAAGAAAAGAGAUUUUACUCUUUUUUUUUUUAAUCAUCCGAGCCUUAUUCAAUACAAUGUACAACUGCUAUGAAAUCCUCUUUUAUUCAACAUAAUAUUUGCGCUUAUGCAACCAUGUGAGUUUACAUUUACUCCCAAAGAGUUUCAAUUAAUAGGUGUAGUGCCGAAAAUGAGAUAUUGUGAAUUAAAUGCAAUAAAAAUAUUAUUAAAGUAGGCUGAUUUAUUAAUAUUUAUAGGAAAACGAAAAAUAAACUAAUAGAAAAAUCAAUUAAUUAAGCAUAUUGUUGGAUAUAUUUGGUCAAAAAUAAAAAAGAAGAGUUUGGUAUUCCUUGGAAACAUCCAUAAUCAAUCUGAACAUGACAUAGUUCCUCUGAUAGUUUCCUUGAACGAGUAAUUAAAGGCAAAUGACAGUAUAUAGCAACAACAGUAAUAUAUGUGUUAUGGAUAGAUGUGAGAUAUAUGGUAAAUAAUUAAACUAUAGUCAAGUUAAAAAUAGCAUGUGUAGAAGAUAUAAAACAAAAGUACGUUUAUAGUUGUGUUGCCAAGUAGUCAAUUUAAUGUUCAAAGAAUUUAUUUGGAUUGAAAAUGAAAAGAAUCAUCAACUUUUUUCAUAAUAUUUCUUCUUGAAAAAACUCUAUUACCAAAGGACCUACCCAGAAGAGCUCUAUUCAUAAUAGUUAUGUCAAAACGGACUCUUAGUUCUUUCAUUUCUAUGACUAUUAGAACCCCAAUAUAGCUUUAAAGAAUUCAAUAAUCAAUAUUUCUACUUGAGAUCUUUGAAAAAUGGGAUAAAUAGAUUUGAGUUUUUAGUCGGGAGUGAUCCAUAUUAAUGAGUUGGAAUCAAUUAUCAAUAGAGGAGAGCAACAUGCCACCAAUGGUUGUUAUGGUGAACUUGGUGCUACAUGCACAGAUAGCUUAGUGAGAAAGGAAAAUGAGAAUAGGUAUAUAAACAAGGACAUAAGCAAAUAUUUUAGACACGAAUGGUUUUAUUUGUACAAGUUUCUUCGAUAUCAUCGAAAAGAAAUACACUUAUUCUUGGUAAAGGAUUUUCUUAUCCCACAGUACCCAACGAGGCAAAAUAGAGAUAAUAUUACUCAGCGGUACAGAAUCCAGGAUGAUGCUGGUUUGCCUAUUUGUCUGAUUAGUUAAACAAGAAAAUGACUCUGGCUGAUAUUUCAGUGAUAUGUUCCAGGAGUAAUUAAUCAGCUAUUUUUUGGCCAUAGUUUUCUAACGAUAAGAGGGGAAGAUGCAGUCUAAAUGUAUUAGAAAGGAACAAGAAUGCCAAACCUUCGGAAACAUGAGCUAGGAGCUUUUUCCUGAUUGCUUCUCAUGAUCUCUCCAGGGAUUUAGAGCUUCUCUAACAGCCUGAACUUCGGGAAAAUUCUCCCAAGCCCUCUUCUCCGACUCAAGAACUGUCUCUUUAUCAUCUGCUCAAAUCCAAAUAUAAAGGCAAAUGAGGAUAUAAACCAGAGUUAUAAUACUCUCUAAAAACCAAAAAAUGAAUACGAACGUGACAAAAGAAGCAUAUCGCGAUUACAGAAAUUUAAGAUGAUUAAAAUGAUAAUGUAAGCUCAUGAUGAAACUGUAUAUGGCGAGGAUGACUACCAUAGGAAAGCCCGCCCCUCCUAGAGACUCAUUGAUGUGAACCCAGCUAGCAAGAUUGCUAUCUAACCCACAGAUAUUUACACCAGAUCCCAAGAAUGUCCAAAUACGACCAAGGUUUAAUUUAGGAAUCGACCCUAAAUGAUGAACCAAGCAACCAAACAUAUAUGAAAC
rnacentral:lncRNA from 1 species